rnacentral:rRNA from 1 species
UACGAAGGGUGCAAGCGUUACUCGGAAUUACUGGGCGUAAAGGGCUCGUAGGUGGCCAACUAAGUCAGACGUGAAAUCCCUCGGCUUAACCGGGGAACUGCGUCUGAUACUGGAUGGCUUGAGUUCGGGAGAGGGAUGCGGAAUUCCAGGUGUAGCGGUGAAAUGCGUAGAUAUCGGGAGGAACACCGAUGGCGAAGGCAGAUCUCUGGGCCAUUACUGACGCUGAGGAGCGAAAGCAUGGGGAGCGAACAGG